rnacentral:misc_RNA from 1 species
GAUGAAGAACGUAGCGAAAUGCGAUAAGUAAUGCGAAUUGCAGAUUUCAGUGAGUCAUCGAAUCUUUGAACGCACAUUGCGCCCGCCAGCACUCUGGCGGGCAUGCCUGUUCGAGCGUCAUUUCAACCAUCAAGCCCCAGGCUUGCGUUGGAGCCCUGCGGCUGCCGCAGCCUCCUAAAAGCAGUGGCGGGCUCGCUAUCACACCGAGUGCAGUAGAUUACUCUUCGCUCAGGGCGUGCAGCGGGUUCCGGCCGUGAAACCCCCUACUUUUAAAGGUUGACCUCGGAUCAGGUAGGAAUACCCGCUGAACUUAAGCAUAUCAAUAAGCGGAGGA